rnacentral:lncRNA from 1 species
ACAGAGAAGAUCUAAAUAUGUGUCUCCUUGAGGGAGGCUGAGGAGUGGAGGAGGAUGAACUCUUACAAAACGUCAACCUUUUUAAAAAUAUGUUUUCAGUAAUUGCUGUUCUGCGCCAAGUUUUAUCCUAGUGGACCCGGACUCUCAUCUUCCUCCUGAGUGUGCUCUCCCCGGAGACCUGGCAUUGGAAUUCGCCCUGCCACCUUCUGGUCUCCCCAAGUAGAAACCUGGGCGUCAGUCUGGACGCUUGUCACCAAAUUCUGUCCCUUCCACCUUCACAUGGCCACACAACAAGACAAACUAUCAACAGAGUAAACAAACUACAGAAUGGGAGAAGAUACUCACAAACGAUGUAUCCAACAAAGGCCUAAUAAUAUCCAGAAUCUAUAGACAACAUAAACAAAUGGAUCCCUUACUCUGUAGUAAGUUCUGUAUGCAUAAGCCUCUCUUUGUUCUUAUUUUGGUGGCCUCUGUUUAUUUACACAAAGAGAAAUAACUGCUAUUCCCAUAAAUCAUGGCUUUCAAAAUGGUCACAGUUCACUGGGCAUGCUUGCUCAUGCCUGUAAAUCUACCACUUUGAGAGAAAAUACAAAAUUAGCCAGGCAUGGUGGCACAUGCCUGUAAUCCCAGCUACUUGGGAGGCUGAGGCAAGAGAAUCACUUGAACCUGGGAGGCAGAGGUUUUGGGGAGGUGGAGGUUGAGGUGAGCCAAGAUCGUGG